rnacentral:rRNA from 2 species
UAGGGAUCUUCCACAAUGGACGCAAGUCUGAUGGAGCAACGCCGCGUGAGUGAAGAAGGCUUUCGGGUCGUAAAACUCUGUUGUUGGAGAAGAAUGGUCGGCAGAGUAACUGUUGUCGGCGUGACGGUAUCCAACCAGAAAGCCACGGCUAACUACGUGCCAGCAGCCGCGGUAAUACGUAGGUGGCAAGCGUUAUCCGGAUUUAUUGGGCGUAAAGCGAGCGCAGGCGGUUUUUUAAGUCUGAUGUGAAAGCCCUCGGCUUAACCGAGGAAGCGCAUCGGAAACUGGGAAACUUGAGUGCAGAAGAGGACAGUGGAACUCCAUGUGUAGCGGUGAAAUGCGUAGAUAUAUGGAAGAACACCAGUGGCGAAGGCGGCUGUCUGGUCUGUAACUGACGCUGAGGCUCGAAAGCAUGGGUAGCGAACAGGAUUAGAUACCCUGGUAGUCCAUGCCGUAAACGAUGAAUGCUAGGUGUUGGAGGGUUUCCGCCCUUCAGUGCCGCAGCUAACGCAUUAAGCAUUCCGCCUGGGGAGUACGACCGCAAGGUUGAAACUCAAAGGAAUUGACGGGGGCCCGCACAAGCGGUGGAGCAUGUGGUUUAAUUCGAAGCAACGCGAAGAACCUUACCAGGUCUUGACAUCUUUUGAUCACCUGAGAGAUCAGGUUUCCCCUUCGGGGGCAAAAUGACAGGUGGUGCAUGGUUGUCGUCAGCUCGUGUCGUGAGAUGUUGGGUUAAGUCCCGCAACGAGCGCAACCCUUAUGACUAGUUGCCAGCAUUUAGUUGGGCACUCUAGUAAGACUGCCGGUGACAAACCGGAGGAAGGUGGGGAUGACGUCAAAUCAUCAUGCCCCUUAUGACCUGGGCUACACACGUGCUACAAUGGAUGGUACAACGAGUUGCGAGACCGCGAGGUCAAGCUAAUCUCUUAAAGCCAUUCUCAGUUCGGACUGUAGGCUGCAACUCGCCUACACGAAGUCGGAAUCGCUAGUAAUCGCGGAUCAGCACGCCGCGGUGAAUACGUUCCCGGGCCUUGUACACACCGCCCGUCACACCAUGAGAGUUUGUAACACCCGAAGCCGGUGGCGUAACCCUUUAGGAGCGAGCCGUCUAAGGUGG